rnacentral:rRNA from 1 species
CGCGUAGGUGGUAGUGCAAGUCUGGGGUGGAAUCUUAGGGCUUAACCCUAAAACUGCCUUGGAAACUGCAUUACUUGAGUCAGUGAGGGGAGGGUAGAAUUCCUGGUGUAGCGGUGAAAUGCGUAGAUAUCAGGAGGAAGGCCGGUGGCGAAGGCGGCCCUCUGGCGCUGAACUGACACUGAGGCGCGAAAGCGUGGGGAGCAAACAGGAUUAGAUACCCUGGUAGUCCACGCCCUAAACGGUGGGCACUAGGUGUAGGGCUCGUAAGGGUUCUGUGCCGAAGGGAAACCAUUAAGUGCCCCGCCUGGGGAGUACGGCCGCAAGGUUGAA